rnacentral:rRNA from 1 species
AGCAGCCGCGGUAAUUCCAGCUCCAAUAGCGUAUAUUAAAGUUGUUGCAGUUAAAAAGCUCGUAGUUGAAUUUCGGGGAUCAAUUAAUCGGUCGUGCCUCUGGUACGCACUGGUUUUAUUGGUUUCUCCCUUCUGACGAACCAGGAUGUCAUUAAUUUGGUGUCUUGGAGAAUCAGGACUGUUACUUUGAAAAAAUUGAAGUGUUUAAAGCUAGGCUUCUAGGCAUGAAUACAUUAGCAUGGAAUAAUGAAAUAGGACGUUUGAUCCUAUUUUGUUGGUUUCUAGGAUCGACGUAAUGAUUAAUAGGGAUAGUUGGGGGCAUUAGUAUUCAAUUGUCAGAGGUGAAAUUCUUGGAUUUAUUGAAGACUAA